UGUAUUUUUCAUUGUUUGGUUGCACAUGGUGCUGCCCGCUGAACCCGUGAGUAUAAUCUUCGGCCCGCACUGUUCACAUUAAUUACGGUAGACAUGGAUCUCCCACCAGCCCCAUCGAUUCUAAUCGGUCCUCGUAUUUCGUGUCGAAUAAGUUAAUCAUUUUUCUCAUUUGCCCUAGUCUCCACUUUGAACUCAAACAAAAUUUGAAACACUCCAAAAGCUCCAACAACUUCAGCUUCAGUCGAGGAACAUUUCUGUGACUGAUUUCCCAACGAGUUUCAUACCAUCGGAAGAGGUGAAUCGGCAUAGCAAGGAGAAAUCCGACUUCUUUCCAUCACCCACUCAACGCCAAUCGAUAACACGUCGAUUGUGUGGCUAUGCUUUGUUAUGGAUCGGUCGUUUUUUGCAUCAUCUGCCUUGUAUCUAAUGGUAGAAGACAUAAUGAAUAGUUUUCAUAUGCAAUCUACUGUCAUUUUGUACUUCUGCUUGAAGCGUAGACGGCGGUUUCGAAGACGAGAUAUGCGACGCCUCAUUAGACAUUACUCCAUUCUAGAUAGGAUACCAGCACGGGUGAAACAAAUAAGCAGACUCACUGAAGUCAGUGAUGUCGACUGAUUUGUCAAUCUAAGAAUGGAUAGGAACACGUUCGGACGCCUAUGUAUUCUACUGAGAGACAUAAGGGGAUUGCGUCGCUGUAGGUAUGCGCUGUUGGAGGAGCAAGUUGCUAUCUUCCUAGGAAUUUUAGCCCACAACAAGAAAAAUCGUAUAGUUGGUUAUAACUUUAUGAGGUCCGGGGAAACCAUAUCUCAUUACGUUCAUUCUGUUUUGAGAGCAACACUGAAACUGCAUAGCGUUUUGUUGCCGCGCCCAAAACCCAUUACUAAUGACUGCACCGACUCUCGUUGGAAACAUUUUAAGGGAUGUCUUGGGGCAUUGGACGGGACUUAUAUCAACGUGCUUGUGCGUAACGUUGACAAGCCCCGCUAUCGAACUCGGAAGGGUCAUAUCUCAACUAACACCCUCGCAGCCUGUGAUUGCAAUAUGAGGUUUGUGUAUUUUCUCCCUGGAUGGGAGGGAUUUGCGGGUGAUUCUCGUGUUCUUCGUGAUGACGUCACUAGAGAAGAAGGGGCUUUGAGGGUCCCUAAAGGUUCACACCACACCAUCCCUAAAUCAAUUAAUCUUAUCUUCUAUAAACAAGUUUGGUUUUUUGGGUUAAAACAUAAACUUUUGUCAAUCUGUCUUUAUUAUAAGAAAUUACUACUUAUGUGACAAUGGGUAUGCUAAUUCUUAAGGUUUCUUAACACCUUACAAUGGUGUCCGAUACCACUUGAAAGAAUGAGGAGUUGGCACACAAAGGCCUCAAAAUGCACAUGAGUUGUUUAACUUAAGGCACACUAAAGCACAUAACAUAAUUGAGCGGGCGUUUGCUGUUUUAAAAAUGUGAUGGAGUAUUUUACGAAAUGCGUGUUUCUAUCCGAUUAAGAUACAGAUCAGGCUGAUCAUGGCUUGCUUCCUCCUCCAUAAUUUCAUCCAAGGUGAAAUGAUGAUCGAUCCAAUUGAGCAACCACUUGAUGUUGGUGAUAACAUUUGCAUCCUCGAUGAAGACCAUGAUGAGGUUGAGUUCGUGGAUCAGGUUGAGCCAACCACAGAAUGGACUCAGAUGCGAGAUGACUUGGCGAAUUCCAUGUGGAUUCAUCAAGGUCAUGUCAACAACAACUAAAAAUUGCGAAUUGGCACCCGAGCGUCUCUGUGGCACCGGCCGGAUGAGGUUGUUAUGUGCAAGGAAGGUUGUGGCACAUUGCGGUCGAUAUUUUUACAAAUGUCCAGCAAAUGCACAACACUCGGGUGAUAUUUUUAUGGUAUGACGAGUACCAUAGUAGUGAAGGUGGUGAGAUACCAGAUUACAUUUUGAAUCAAACAUAUUAGGUAGUUAAAGUUGUAUCCCAGGUGCAAGGCGCUAAAAAAAGGGUUGGAGAAGAUAGAUAGUCUUCCUGUCGCGUUUGUGUCCGAUGUCAUGCUGAAUUAAGGAUGAACCUCGUAUUGGGUGUCAUGGGGAUGAUUUUGUUUUUACUCGUGAUGUUGAUUGGGAGGCUCUACUGGUGUAGUGUUUAGCUUUAUGGAUCAAUAUAUGAAAUUAUCGACUAAGUUAUUUACUACUGUAAUUUUGUACUAUGAAGUUUAGACAUUGGUUGCAUAUUUUGAACAUAUCGGCCUAGUAUUUCACGGCUUUGAUCUUGUGGGAAGAAGUGUUAUUUUGAGAACAA